rnacentral:rRNA from 1 species
UCGAUGGAGAGUUUGAUCCUGGCUCAGGACGAACGCUGGCGGCGCGCUUAACACAUGCAAGUCGAACGUGAAGCCCGGGCUUGCCCGGGUGGAAAGUGGCGAACGGGUGCGUAACACGUGAGGAACGUGCCCCGAAGACCGGGAUAACUCGAGGAAACUCGUGCUAAUACCGGAUGUCCUCACCGGAUCGCAUGGUCUGGUGAGGAAAUGGAUUCCGCUUCGGGAUCGCCUCGCGGCCUAUCAGCUUGUUGGUGGGGUAACGGCCCACCAAGGCAACGACGGGUAGCUGGUCUGAGAGGAUGUCCAGCCACACUGGGACUGAGACACGGCCCAGACUCCUACGGGAGGCAGCAGUGGGGAAUCUUGCACAAUGGGCGAAAGCCUGAUGCAGCGACGCCGCGUGCGGGAUGAAGGCCCUCGGGUCGUAAACCGCUUUCAGC